UACGGAGGGGGCUAGCGUUAUUCGGAAUUACUGGGCGUAAAGCGCACGUAGGCGGCUUUGUAAGUCAGAGGUGAGAGCCUGGAGCUCAACUCCAGAACUGCCUUUGAGACUGCAUCGCUUGAAUCCAGGAGAGGUGAGUGGAAUUCCGAGUGUAGAGGUGAAAUUCGUAGAUAUUCGGAAGAACACCAGUGGCGAAGGCGGCUCACUGGACUGGUAUUGACGCUGAGGUGCGAAAGCGUGGGGAGCAAACAGG
rnacentral:rRNA from 1 species